rnacentral:lncRNA from 1 species
GUGGCAAGUGAUGAUGCCAUCUCGAUAAUAUAGAUCCCCUUAUUGUUAUGGAAAUGAUGAUGAACAUUAUUAUGAAAAUUAUUAUCAUCAUGAAGCUUCAUAUGAAGUUCAAACCUCCUACUUGAUUGAGACUUUUAUGGAUUGGAAAAAUUAACGAAAACAAAAGAAAAGAUGAAAAAUAUUAAAAGAUAAGUUUUCUUGAUUCUUUUCUUGGAUUUAUUGGGUUACUUUCAAGUAUAUAAUAAUA